rnacentral:rRNA from 1 species
ACUCCUACGGGAGGCAGCAGUAGGGAAUCUUCCACAAUGGGCGCAAGCCUGAUGGAGCAACACCGCGUGAGUGAAGAAGGGUUUCGGCUCGUAAAGCUCUGUUGUUAAAGAAGAACACGUAUGAGAGUAACUGUUCAUACGUUGACGGUAUUUAACCAGAAAGUCACGGCUAACUACGUGCCAGCAGCCGCGGUAAUACGUAGGUGGCAAGCGUUAUCCGGAUUUAUUGGGCGUAAAGAGAGUGCAGGCGGUUUUCUAAGUCUGAUGUGAAAGCCUUCGGCUUAACCGGAGAAGUGCAUCGAAAACUGGAUAACUUGAGUGCAGAAGAGGGUAGUGGAACUCCAUGUGUAGCGGUGGAAUGCGUAGAUAUAUGGAAGAACACCAGUGGCGAAGGCGGCUACCUGGUCUGCAACUGACGCUGAGACUCGAAAGCAUGGGUAGCGAACAGGAUUAGAUACCCUGGUAGGAUAGCG